AAGGAAUCGACAUUUUACAGACAAUGUAAUACGAUAUUACAUACACGACGAACAAAACGUAUCACACCAUUUUAUCAUUAAUAACUUGCACGGUUAGGUUCUUCGAAUAUCUUCUGAAAUAAAAAUUACCAUAUCAAUGUUACCAAUAUGUAGGAUACAAUCGAUCAAGUAUAGGGAAUAUUUUUUUUAUGAAGUUUUCUAUUUCGCCAUCAGGUGGAGUUAGUAGUAAUUCAGCCAUUUAAAGUGUGUGGGAAGCAAGUGUAAGCGUAGUCUAAUAUGCGCCAUAAUAAAGGAAAAAAAAGAAAAAAUCGACAUUACACAACAUAUAUAUGUAGUGUACUUACGUUGUAACGUGCUUAGCCAAGAAGAAAACAAGGAAGGAAUACGAAUUUGAAUUGAAAAAAUUCCUGUUUGAUAAUUUUAUAUCCAUCUGCGUACUUUUAUUCAUUAGCAGAAAUCUAAUGAUCGGUAAAAUAUUGUUUUGAAUUAAAACUAUGCUGCCAAGAAACUAUUUUUUGGAUUUCAAGAAUAUCCUAGUCAGAGGUUUGGAUUUGUUGUGUGCCUUUUUCUUAGGAAAAAUAAUCUUCAUACUAUAGUAUAUUCACUGUAAAUAUAAAAAUUCUUUGACUAUGUCAUAAAAAUAAUUAAAAGCUAGAUAAAAUGGAGCAAGCUAACAUCUCUUGCUCUUUUACUACCCUUACAGGUUUCUUUUAUUAUCAACUAUAUACAGAGCAAGUAUUACAUACAUGCUUCAACGCAUAUGUGAAUUACAAAUACAACAGGAACUUCAAAUUUCGAAUUGGAUUUAAUCAGAUGUUUUAUAUUUAAUGACCUAAUACUUGCACAUUUAAGGUGUGAAUUAAUAAUGCCGCAAGGGGGAAAAGUAUGUUUUCAUAAUACGUUGUAUUGUGAUUUUUAUUAAAUUAUUAUAUUCGUGUGUUUAA
rnacentral:lncRNA from 1 species